GCCAGACUCCUACGGGAGGCAGCAGUGGGGAAUAUUGCACAAUGGGGGAAACCCUGAUGCAGCGACGCCGCGUGAGUGAAGAAGUAUUUCGGUAUGUAAAGCUCUAUCAGCAGGAACGAGACAAGACGGUACCUGACUAAGAAGCCCCGGCUAACUACGUGCCAGCAGCCGCGGUAAUACGUAGGGGGCAAGCGUUAUCCGGAAUCACUGGGUGUAAAGGGAGCGUAGACGGCUGAGCAAGCCUGAAGUGAAAGGCGGGGGCCCAACCCCCGGACUGCUUUGGGAACUGUACGGCUGGAGUGCAGGAGAGGUAAGUGGAAUUCCUAGUGUAGCGGUGAAAUGCGUAGAUAUUAGGAGGAACACCAGUGGCGAAGGCGGCUUACUGGACUGUAACUGACGUUGAGGCUCGAAAGCGUGGGGAGCAAACAGGAUUAGAUACCCUCGUA
rnacentral:rRNA from 1 species